UACGGGGGGAGCAAGCGUUGUUCGGAUUUACUGGGCGUAAAGGGCGCGUAGGCGGCCACCGCAAGUCGGUUGUGAAAUCUCCGGGCUUAACCCGGAAAGGUCAAUCGAUACUGCGGGGCUAGAGUGCAGAAGGGGCAACUGGAAUUCUCGGUGUAGCGGUGAAAUGCGUAGAUAUCGAGAGGAACACCUGCGGCGAAGGCGGGUUGCUGGGCUGACACUGACGCUGAAGCGCGAAAGCUAGGGGAGUGAACGGG
rnacentral:rRNA from 1 species